UACAGAGGUCCCGAGCGUUUGUUCGGAUUCACUGGGCGUAAAGGGUGCGUAGGUGGCUUGGAAAGUUUGAUGUGAAAGCUCAGGGCUUAACCCUGAAAUGGCAUUGAAUACUGCUGAGCUGGAGGUUUGGAGGGGGGACUGGAAUUCUUGGUGUAGCAGUGAAAUGCGUAGAUAUCAAGAGGAACACCAGUGGCGAAGGCGAGUCCCUGGACAACACCUGACACUGAGGCACGAAAGCUAGGGGAGCAAACAGG
rnacentral:rRNA from 1 species